CCUGGCCCAAUGUCAAAAUGGAGGGAAUCUCACAAGAGCAUUAUCACCUGGAGGCAUGAUUCAUUGAGGGCGGCUGUUGUGUGUUGUAUAUCUCUGGUAGAAAUGGAUUCGUUUGCAAGCCAACUGAGUCACAAAAGGUGGGCCUGGGAGAAACUCUGGUCAUCCGUUUCCUCUGCUAGGGGUUUUCCCCAGGGGGCCAUCUGGCUUGUCUGG